UGGUUUAGACCACAGCACCACCCACAUCCCUUCUGCUUUUAGUACUUGGUUUCUAAACAGUUUAGGGCUUUGUAUGCGAGGACAAACACUAGCAGUAUCCCUGGAGCCCUCUCUCUGAAAGUACCGCCUGCUCUCGAGACCACAGAAACCUACUGGAUGCCAUCAGCUUCAGGGGAGUUAUUUCGCAUGCCCCUCAGUCCCCAUACCUUCAGCUUGUUAACAGGCCUAAUGGGUCAGGGAUAUAUUUAGUUGCAGUGCUGGGUGACCUGCGCUUUCUCUUUGCAGGUUCCACAGUAAAGGGCCUCGGCAUCGUAAUACCGGCAGCCGUUGUUCCGUGUGUGUGUGCUGCCGCUGUGGUGAUCACUAUUGCCUGUGUCGCUGAAAGGGUCAUCAAUAAACCCAAUAAUGAAUGAGCAUGAAAGAAUGAAGCUGAACCCGAGCGAGUUGCUCCUUGUCACAUUGUGUGUCUUUGCCCAAGGAAACUAAGCACAAAUAAAUCAUUCAGUUGGAUGUAUUCCGUGUGACUCGCUUAUUUUGCUUAUACAACCAAUCAGCCGCAAUCCAGUGACACACUUUGGCAAUACCAGGCUCGGGAUUUAAUGAUCCGAACAGCCCCCAUCUGUUUUCCAAUGACAAUACGUGUCCCUUGAUUCGUUUCAAAAUGUGUCACACCAGCCUUCUUGCAUGGGGGGGGGGCUUCCUGGCUGACCUUAGUCCCACAACCGAAGAGCCCAUUUAUAUGAC
rnacentral:lncRNA from 1 species